rnacentral:rRNA from 1 species
CCUACGGGAGGCAGCAGUGGGGAAUAUUGGACAAUGGGGGAAACCCUGAUCCAGCGACGCCGCGUGAGUGAAGAAGUAUUUCGGUACGUAAAGCUCUAUCAGCAGGAAAGAAAAUGACGGUACCUGACUCAGAAGCACAGGCUAACUACGUGCCAGCAGCCGCGGUAAUAUGUAAGGGGCCAGCGUUAUCCGGAUUUACUGGGUGUUAAGGGAGCGUAGACGGCAGCGCAAGUCUGGAGUGAAAUGCCGGGGGCCAACCCCGGAACCGUUGUGGAAACUGUGAAGCUGGAGUGCAGGAGAGGUAAGCGGAAUUCGUGGUGUAGCGGUGAAAUGCGUAGAUAUCAGGAAGAACACCGACGGCGAAGGCGGCUUACGGGACUGUGACUGACGGUGAGGCCCGAAGGCGUGGGGAGCAAACAGGAUUAGAUACCCCAGUAGUC